AAAAAUGUAAGAGUCAACUUCCUAUAUAUAUACACACACUCCUUUCCGUUCUGCCUGCAACUCUCAUAUUCUUCUUUCCAAUCUCUCAUAACUACAACUCAAUCUAUCUAUGGAGUGGUCUCGAGGACGUGUAAUCGGCCGUGGUUCCACCGCCACCGUCUCUCUCGCUACCUCCCUCGCCUCCGGCGGGAUCUUUUCUUUUCUAUGUUCCAAACUGAGUGGUCUCGAGGACGUGUAAUCGGCCGUGGUUCCACCGCCACCGUCUCUCUCGCUACCUCCCUCGCCUCCGGUGAGAUCUUUGCUUUGAAAUCCUCCAACCUUCCAUUGCAGAGAGAGCAAUCCAUUCUCUCCAAUCUCAGCUCUCCCUACAUUGUCAAGUACAUAGGCUCCGCUGAU
rnacentral:lncRNA from 1 species